rnacentral:rRNA from 1 species
GACGAACGCUGGCGGCGUGCUUAACACAUGCAAGUCGAACGGAAAGGCCCUGCUUUUGUGGGGUGCUCGAGUGGCGAACGGGUGAGUAACACAUGAGUAACCUGCCCUUGACUUUGGGAUAACUUCAGGAAACUGGGGCUAAUACCGGCUAGGAGCUCCUGCUGCAUGGUGGAGGUUGGAAAGUUUCGGCGGUUGGGGAUGGACUCGCGGCUUAUCAGCUUGUUGGUGGGGUAGUGGCUUACCAAGGCUUUGACGGGUAGCCGGCCUGAGAGGGUGACCGGCCACAUGGGGACUGAGAGACGGCCCAGACUCCUACGGGAGGCAGCAGUGGGGAAUAUUGCACAACGGGCGGAAGCCUGAUGCAGCAACGCCGCGGGCGGGAUGACGGCCUUCGGGUUGUAAACCGCGUUCGCCUGUGACGAAGCGUGAGUGACGGUAAUGGGUAAAGAAGCACCGGCUAACUACGUG